rnacentral:tRNA from 1 species
CCUGGCCUGGCUCAGUCGGUAGAGCGUGGGACUCUGGAUCUCAAGGUCCUGAGUUCGAGCCCCACGGUGGGUA